GAUGAACGCUGGCGGCGUGCUUAACACAUGCAAGUCGAACGGAAAGGCCCAAGCUUGCUUGGGUACUCGAGUGGCGAACGGGUGAGUAACACGUGGGUGAUCUGCCCUGCACUUCGGGAUAAGCCUGGGAAACUGGGUCUAAUACCGGAUAGGACGAUGGUUUGGAUGCCAUUGUGGAAAGUUUUUUCGGUGUGGGAUGAGCUCGCGGCCUAUCAGCUAGUUGGUGGGGUAAUGGCCUACCAAGGCGUCGACGGGUAGCCGGCCGGAGAGGGUGAACGGCCAGACGGGAAGGGAGAGAAGGUGCAGACUACGAAGGGAGGCAGGAGCAGGGAAGAUGCCGCGAGGGGGGAAAGGGGGACGAAGCAAUGGCGCGUGAGUGAUGAAGGUCUUGGGAUGGGAAAAUUCUGUUAGUAGGGAAGAAGAAAAGUGUAAGUAACGAUGCACGUCUGGACGGGAACUAAUCAGAAAGAAACGGCUAACUAGGUG
rnacentral:rRNA from 1 species